rnacentral:ncRNA from 1 species
CUACAGACUUAAUUGGAUUGAGCCUUGGUAUGGAAACCUACUAAGUGAUAACUUUCAAAUUCAAAGAAAACCUGGAAUUAAAAAUGGGCAAUCCUGAGCCAAAUCCUAUUUUUUAAAAACAAACAAAGGUUCAUAAAGACAGAAUAAAAAAAGGAUUGGUGCAGAGACUCAAUGGAAGCUGUUCUAACUAACGAAUUGAAUGCGUUGCAUUAGUAAAGUAAAGAAGUCCUUCCAUCAAAAUUCCAGAUUCCAGAAAGGAUAAAGUAAAGGAUAACCAUAUAUACAUGCAGGUACAUACUGAAAUAAUAUCUCAGAAGAUUAAUAGGGGGCCGAAUCGAUAUUUUUUAUCUUUAUAUGAAAAAGAAAGAAUUGUUUUGAUUUGAAUUGAUUCCAAGUUGAAGAAAAGAUUGAAUAUUAAUUGAUCACAUCAUUCACUCUAUAGUCUGAUAGAUAACUGAUUAAUUGGAUGAAGAUAGAGUCCCAUUCUACAUGUCAAUAUCAA